rnacentral:rRNA from 1 species
UACGGAGGGGGCGAGUGUUGUUCGGAAUUACUGGGCGUAAAGGGCGCGCAGGCGGCCUGGCAAGUCGAGUGUGAAAUCCCUUGGCUUAACUGAGGAAUGGCGCUCGAAACUACCUCGCUGGAGGGCGGGAGAGGGAAGUGGAACUCUCGGUGUAGGGGUGAAAUCUGUAGAUAUCGAGAGGAACACCGGUGGCGAAGGCGGCUUCCUGGCCCGUUCUUGACGCUGAGGCGCGAAAGCUAGGGGAGCAAACGGG